rnacentral:tRNA from 1 species
UCGUGGCCGAGUGGUUAAGGCGGUGGCCUGCUAAGCCAUUGUUCUCUGAACGCGAGGGUUCGUAUCCCUUCGAC